rnacentral:rRNA from 1 species
GAUGAACGCUAGCGGCAGGCUUAAUACAUGCAAGUCGAGGGGCAGCACGAAUAGCAAUAUUUGGUGGCGACCGGCAAACGGGUGCGGAACACGUACAGAACCUUCCUUCGAGCGGGGAAUAGCCCGAAGAAAUUCGGAUUAAUACCCCAUAGUAAAUUGAAAAGGCAUCUUUUUAAUUUUAAAGAUUUAUCACUUGAAGAUGGCUGUGCGCCUGAUUAGGUAGUUGGCGGGGUAACGGCCCACCAAGCCUGCGAUCAGUAACUGGUGUGAGAGCACGACCAGUCACACGGGCACUGAGACACGGGCCCGACUCCUACGGGAGGCAGCAGUAAGGAAUAUUGGUCAAUGGACGCAAGUCUGAACCAGCCAUGCCGCGUGGAGGAUGAAGGUCCUCUGGAUUGUUAAACUUUCUUUUUAGUUUAGGGAAAGAAAUGUGAUUAAUUCUUUAUCACUUGACGGUACAGAUGAAUAAGCACCGGCUAACUCCGUGCCA